AGGCGCGGCGAGGCGGGUGGCGCGCGGCAGCAGGGUUGGGCUCUCGCCGUGAGUCGACGAAGGGAGCGCGGGCGCGCGCCCGCGUCCGCGCACUGAGAGUCGCCUCGGCCGCUCGCUUUCUCGACUCCCGCCUCGCGCCUCGAUCCUGUUCCGCCUCCCUCGGCCCUCCUGCCCGCCCCCACUCGUCGGCCCUCAGGUUCCUGGAAAGUGAAAAUUUCAUUUCUUUGUGGACAGGUACCUAAAAUGUCUCAUUAUUCAUCAAUUAAUGAAAAACAAAUGAAAAUUUGAGAGAGAUAUUCUGAAGAAUAAAAGGAUCAAGUUGGGUCAUUUCUAAAAUCUCAGAGACCUAAUAGGAUGGGGUCUUAGAGAAACAUCUUUUGAGCCACAGACUUCUUUGUUACCAGAAGGAAAAUGAAAGAAGAAAUUUAAAUACCACUUGAAGAGAGCUGAUCGCCACCAACUGGCCUCUGGGUGGAUUUGGCCAAUGGAAGCACCUGUAGAGGGAAGAGAGUGAGGUUAGGAUAUUUCUUCCUGCUGUCUCCGUGCUUCCCUGCAGAGAGUGUGAAGAAAUGACCCUGAAAAGCCUCUGGCAGAGGAUUCUUCUUUCAGGAUGGUGUCGCCUCCUCAGCAGCCCAUCCUCCUCCCCUGGACUCAAGCUCUCAUUCCAGUAACACUCCUUCCUCCUUCUCCAUCUUCAGGGGGAGGUUUGCCAGUCGGUGGGUUCUAAGCAUAUCUCGCUGAUUCCCCCCAACCCUGCCGACACCUCUGUAGGUCGUCCCUUCAUUAAAAUCUCUCCAUUUGAACUAUCUGAGUUUAAUUCCAUUUCCUCCUGGUAUCUCAGUGAUACACGGUAUCAGUACAAAAAUCUCGCUUCACCUUCAGAACCAACAGAUUUGAGACAUUUUAUCCUCUGUGGAACCAUUAGUUAUUUUGUCAUUGGUUGUAUCAGAAAAAAAAAUCAGGAAUGCAAAUCCUUCUUUAUUACAGAUUCAGAUUUGCAUAUUACCAAUGUUAUAUAUUUUAAACAAAACUAUUCAUCAUAAGUUUUAAAAAUUAACUACUGGAGUAGUUAAUGAAUCUGAAUGUAAUUAUGUAGCUUUCAUAAUAUUAAAGUAAAAAUACUAAAAGAAGUAUUUCUUAAAGAAGCAAAUGCUCAAUCUCCAAGUAAAUUUUAUUCUAUGCUCUUCCGGUAUAAGAAUAUGUUAAUAUCUUGAAAAAUAUCAUAUUAUUUUGUGAACUCAUAAAGCUAUUUUGAGUUUUUGUAAAAUGAAAACCUUACCAAAAUGUAUUUUAUUGUUGGAAAGCUUGACCGUUACUGCUGUUUAAUUUUUUGAGCUUGUAAACUUUAUUUGUGCAUGUUUUCAACAAAGAAGGAUUUUAUUGUUAUUACAUAAAACAGGUGAUUUCUAGAUUUUAAAAUCACAAAUUGAAAGCAAGGCACAAUAAUAUAUAUUUCAAGAUAUAGGUACUUAGGAGGCAUCCUUUUAGUCAUCUGUUCAAUGUAGCCAUCUAUUUUACACCUACUGUCUACUAUUGUUUGAGGUCCUUGCCAAAGUAUUGCAGGCUAGUUAGGAAACAUAAAACAAUUAGAAAGUAAUCUAUGACAAGUAAGCUAUCUAUAAAUGGCAAUGAAGGGUAGAACAAAUUCAAUGAAAAUAUCUAUUUAAUCCUAGUGUUUACUGGUCUAGAAGAAUAGGCUGAGUAAAUUAGUAUUUCUCUGGCUGUUGUGGUAACACAUUGCAUGCUAUAACAGUUUUAAGUAAUUACAGGUGCAUUGAAAUUUAUCUAUGGCUUUGUCAUCAUAUUCUAAAAUGUCAUGAGUACUUUUUUCUGACCUCAAUUACUAUGAAAUUGGUUUCCAAUAUUUAAUUAACCAAGAAUAUCAAGUCUAUAGGGUAUUAUUAAGGUGAGACUUCUGUAGCCUUUUCAAUAAAGACCAGAAUUUUGGAGUGCCUUGAACCUUAAUCAUUGAUCUUUAAUUCUUAUUAAGUCAACUGCCCACCUUUUAAAGACUGAGGCCCAGGAAGAGUAAGUUUCUCUGAGACAAUGCAUACAGUACAGUGCUUCUUGGGUAUUGGCUCUAAGACCAGAUGCAAAGAAAGGCUAAAAUCCCAUUUCAUUGUUCAUUAGGUGAGAACCCUUUGUUAAGCUGUGUAACCUCUGUGCAUAGUUUCCUCAUCAGCAAAGUCAGAAAAAGUAUGUACCUGAAGGACUGAUUGUAAGGCUGGGAUGAGAGAAUCCAUGUGAUCAGCCCUCACCAACAGGUGCUGCCCAGUUCAUGAGUGCUGCUGCUGUCCUGCCCAAGUACCCAGCUUGCAGAGUGCCAGAGUUAGAGUCCCAGGGGUGUUCUCCACAGCUGCAUGCUUGAUCCAGGCCUAUCAGGUGAGUUGGCUCUUGGCUAGUGGUUUUUCUUCUCUUGCUGUACAAAAGUCCAGACAGUAAUGUCUUUUUUUCAUUUUUAUAGAUAUAUUCCAUUGAAAGUCCUCAUUCUCAAAUUUAAAACAAAGACUUUUUGUGUACCUCAAUAGCAAUGCACACACAGUUGGCUUCACAAACAUAUUGUACAUUUCUUUUUUUCAUAUUUAUUCAACAAAUGUAUAUUGACUACCCACCGUGUGACAGGUGUUAUUUGUUGACGGAACCAGGCAUCAUCAGCAAACAAAACUGACAAAGCUUCCUGCCCUCUGUGGAAGGCAUCUGAGGAAGAGACUGGAUUUUGUAGCAACAUGUUAUUCUCAUUAUAAACUUUAUCAUUGGAAUACUAAAGCCAAAUCAUCCCCCAUCUCCUUGAUCAGGAUACCCACUUAAUCUAGGCAGCUACACAAUUGUGAGAGCCUUUGUUUUUUUCUGCUGAAACAUCCUUAAAAAGAUACCUCACAACCCAAGAUUUGGCUUUUCUUAAAUACGAUUUUUAAUUUUUUUCAUUUCUAUCUAGAGAUUUAAUUGGAAAUGGAAAAUCAUCAAUUUUCCAAUUAAAUGUCUGUUCCAAUCAACAUUAUACCUUUUAGGUUGUCAUUGUCAUUUUUAAGUUUAAGCAACUUUAAGGAUUUUGAAUCUGGCUGCCUGUAAAUUAAAGGUGAAAGUAAUCA
rnacentral:lncRNA from 1 species